GAUGAACGCUGGCGGCGUGCCUAAUACAUGCAAGUCGAACGAGGUGCUUGAGUAGCAAUACAAGAGUAUCCUAGUGGCGAACGGGUGAGUAACGCGUGGAUGACCUGCCCCAAAGUGUGGGAUAACAGUCCGAAAGGAUUGCUAAUACCUCAUGUGGUUAUCGGAUUUAGAAACUGAUAACUAAAGCAGCAAUGCGCUUUGGGAGGGAUCUGCGUCCCAUCAGCUAGUUGGUGAGGUAAUGGCUCACCAAGGCGACGACGGGUAGGGGACCUGAGAGGGUGGCCCCCCANAAUGGAACUGAAACACGGUCCAUACACCUACGGGUGGCAGCAGUAGGGAAUAUUGCUCAAUGGGCGAAAGCCUGAAGCAGCAACGCCGCGUGUGCGAUGAAGGCCUGGUCGUAAGCACUUUCUUACGAGAUGAG
rnacentral:rRNA from 1 species